rnacentral:lncRNA from 10 species
UAAAUACAACCAUACCUGAUUUUAUUGCACCUCACUUUAUUUCAUUUUGCAGAUAUUGUAGUUUUUACAAAUUGAAAGUCUGUGGCAACCCUACAACUAGGAAGUCUGUCGAUGCUACUCUUCCAAUAGCACGUGCUCACUUUUGUCUUUUUGUCACAUUUUGGUCAUUCAUGCAUCUGUGAUCAGCUGCCAGACUGGGUGGAGGCUGGUUCAUCUGAAAUGACUUCAGCUAGGAUGACCUGACUCUGCUUUUUUACAUUUAAGUAUCUUCUGAGGCUUAUUCACACGACAGUAAUAGAGAUCCAAAAGCAAAAUGGGAAAUAUGCAAAAUCUUUCAAGGGCUAGGCACAAAAUUAGUCUGUUAUUUCUACCACAUUUUACUAAUCAAUGCAAGUUAUAAGGUCAGACAAGAUUUAAGGGGUGAAGAAAGAGUGGCAAAGUUGCUAUACAAAGAGGAGUGGAUAUAGGAAGAGAUAAAGAAUUAUGGUUAUUUUUGCAAUCUCAUGCAAAUAGCAUUUUUGCAAUAUAAGUUUAGUUUCAUGGCUUUAUUGAGAAAAGCUUAAAUCAAAAACUGCAGAAUCUUUUUGUGUGUGUUUUUUAUUCCCCUGGCACAUUCUAGCAUAUACUUACAAAUACCAAUUCCUGGCAUGGAUGCAGAUCAACUGCUAAUGAGAAUGCGAAAUAAUACGGCCACUUUGGAAAACAGUUUGAUAAUUUCUUAUAAAAAGUUAAUUAUACACUUACCAUGUAAGCCAGUAAUCCAACUACUGAGUUAUUUAACCAAAUGCAAUGAAAACUUAGUUUUCACUGGCAUAAAAUUCUUUCCCACUUAUUAAGCCUUCAAUCCCUUGACUUUGUCUGUUGCAGAUAGAAAAAUUAAAAGACAUAGAGGCUAAAGCCAAAUCUAGCCUACUGCCUGUUUUUGUUAAUAAAGUUUUAUUGGAACAUUGCCAUGCCAUUUGUUUACACAAUGUUUAUGACUACUUGUGUGCUGUGCUACAAUGACAGAGUUGAGCAAUUGUGCAUGAGCUCACAAGGCCCUCAAAGCCUAAAAUAUUUACUAUCUAGCCUUUUACAUAGCAAGUUUGCUGACUCCUAGAGGAUAGGAUUUUGUAAUUGUUUUUUAACAGGUCAGUGUUGAAAAUCAUGUUAAUCACUUAUGAUUGUGUUCCAUUGGCCAGAACUAUGUCUCAUGGUCACACAGUGUAGGCUGGGCUAUUUACAAUACUUGCAUGCAUAGGAAACAGAGGAAACUGAUAUUUGUAACUCUGUUAUGUCUUCACUGAUUUUCCAAAGACUGUAUCAUUCUGCAUCUACUCUCACAUACCACUUUUAAAUAUGUGUGUUUUUGACACAGUUGUAGGUUGUACAUUACUAUUUCUUUUCAUGUUUAACCCUUUAACUGGACUUGGUAAAAAAAAUCAUCUUAUUCAUCUCUAUAUUUUUAGUGUCAUACUCAAUUGAAUAAAGUUAAUAAAGGAAAUAAUGCAAUCAGG